AGAGGGGCCAGGAUCUUCUUUUCAGCAAUCUGUGUGAUUAAUUUUAGCAUCCUAAGAUCCCAGUGCCUGAUUUCUGUACCUGACUUGGGCUCCUACUUGUGCCUGAGCUUUUGGGGUUGGAUUCCUAGUUGCCUGAGCUGCAGUCAGGGGCUACCUGGCCCACCUGGGCCAGGGACUCAGGUGAAGAGGGGGCUCUUCCAGGGUGGUCUCCAGAGGUGGCCUGUCUCAGGGGCUGAGUCGCUAAGUGGACGGCAGACAGGGCAGGGCCUGUUUGUUCCUGGCAGAGGGAGGGGUGGGAGGCCCCGUGCUGCUCCCUCUCCCCGGGCCUCCCCGCUCUGCUCUUGGCGGGAGCUUCAGUGACAGACAGAGGCUCGUCCUGUGCCAGCUGGGAAGCAGGCCGCUCCGCUGGUUGUCUGCCAUGCCUGCUGCAAGGCCACCAGCUUGGCAAACCUGGGUCAGAGGCGGGCUGUGAAUGCGAGGGGCCAUGAUGGGUGGUCUCUGUGAGGACCGAAGUGCGUUUGGAAAGCACAGUUCAUGAAGCCACCAGGACACUUUCCAUCAUUUCCCUCGUGUUCAUGUGGGAUGCGUCACCUCCAAGGUUAUCUGUGGAUUGCUUCCUGGCCGGCCUUUACGGCAUCUCAGUCCAUGCGCUGACCUCACCCUGGGUCUGCCGCCUCCCUGGGUGGGGAGCACGUUUCUCCAGCACCACGCCACUUUUGGAAGGAAAAACUUAAAGAAUGGUUCUCAUUAUUCAAAGGUCUCAAAUUGCACAAUUGAGGAAGCUAAGAGUCACACUCUCAGGGCCUGGCCUGGUUGGAAGAGAGUCUGCAUUUUAUGUCCCUGGGUCAUUGGAAUGUUCUGGAUGUGCCGUGGUCCCUUCCAGAAAGCAAAAACCUCAGCACUGGGGAAUGUUUGGGGGAAAUUAUUGGAGCUUAGCUCAGUAUUAUUUAGUGAGGUGGGGUGUGAUGGUGUGGUCAGAUGUUUCGUUUGUGUCCUUGAAACUCAGCUGAGGGCAGUCUGUACCUCCCGAGGGUUUAGGAAGGACUGGCAUUUCCUGCCUCUGGUGUGUUACUAGGCCCUUGGCUCUGGCCUUCCUGGCCCAGAGCGGGCAGGCCGUGGGGAGGGUCGUGCUGCCCAGGCUCCCCUGGUAGGACACCUCAGGGUUCCACGUCCCUCCAUCACCAGGCCAGUGCCUCCUGAGCCCAGAGCACUCCUCUGUCUCUCUCGAGAUAUUUACUUUCAUCUGUCAAGAAGUUGCCAAGAGGGUCAGGUUAGGGUGGGUGACUUUCAAACUGCUGCAAGGAAGUGGCGACGCUGAGGAGCAACCUCUGGCCUCUGGCCUCAGCCCUGAGCCUGAGUUUGCCCCGUGGUCUGCAGCAGGCCCAGGCCGUCAGGUCUCAGCACCACUCUGUUUCACACCUGGGCUUGCAGAGGGCAACAGGACCACACGGAAGCACAGGCCUUGCCAGAGAGGGACGUCCCUGGCACAACCCCUAGGAACACCUUCGUCAUGUGCCUGUGUCAACAGGACGCUGUGAGGGGCCCAGAGGGACCAGCAUGGACAUGGAAAGACCUGGUUGUUUUCCUACAACCUUCAUGAACAUUUAAAGUCAUGGAAACGUCACGCAGGCAAACAACCAGGUCUUUUCAGCAGGAUUUUCCUGCAAGGAGGAGCCCGGGGGCAGGAGGGUUUGGUAAGCCCUGCCUGUGCUGUCAAGGGGGGAGGACUCCACAAACCUCACAAGUGGGGACCGCCAGGCCAUGCGGUCCGUUCUCAAAGGAGGGUGUGAAGGGCGUGGCCUGCCAGUGCUGUGAUCAGCCCCCCAGGAGCAACGUCAGUGUCGG
rnacentral:lncRNA from 1 species